UACGUAGGGUGCAAGCGUUAUCCGGAAUUAUUGGGCGUAAAGAGCUCGUAGGCGGUCUGUCGCGUCUGCUGUGAAAACUGGGGGCUCAACCCCCAGCCUGCAGUGGGUACGGGCAGACUAGAGUGCGGUAGGGGUGACUGGAAUUCCGUGGUGUAGCGGUGGAAUGCGCAGAUAUCAGGAGGAACACCGAUGGCGAAGGCAGGUCACUGGGCCGCAACUGACGCUGAGGAGCGAAAGCAUGGGGAGCGAACAGG
rnacentral:rRNA from 1 species